CCCUGAAUUAGUAGUCUGACGGAGCACGCCGCGUGAGCGAUGAAGGCCUUCGGGUCGUAAAGCUCUGUUGUUAGGGAAGAACAAGUGCUAGUUGAAUAAGCUGGCACCUUGACGGUACCUAACCAGAAAGCCACGGCUAACUACGUGCCAGCAGCCGCGGUAAUACGUAGGUGGCAAGCGUUAUCCGGAAUUAUUGGGCGUAAAGCGCGCGCAGGUGGUUUCUUAAGUCUGAUGUGAAAGCCCACGGCUCAACCGUGGAGGGUCAUUGGAAACUGGGAGACUUGAGUGCAGAAGAGGAAAGUGGAAUUCCAUGUGUAGCGGUGAAAUGCGUAGAGAUAUGGAGGAACACCAGUGGCGAAGGCGACUUUCUGGUCUGCAACUGACACUGAGGCGCGAAAGCGUGGGGAGCAAACAGGAUUAGAUACCCUGGUAGUCCACGCCGUAAACGAUGAGUGCUAAGUGUUAGAGGGUUUCCGCCCUUUAGUGCUGAAGUUAACGCAUUAAGCACUCCCCCUGGGGGA
rnacentral:rRNA from 1 species